rnacentral:rRNA from 1 species
UACGUAGGGGGCAAGCGUUGUCCGGAUUUACGUGGCGUAAAGAGCGUGUAGGCGGCCACGCAGGUCCGUUGUGAAAACUGGAGGCUCAACCUCCAGCUGUCGACGGAAACCGUGUGGCUAGAGUCCGGAAGAGGAGAGUGGAAUUCCUGGUGUAGCGGUGAAAUGCGCAGAUAUCAGGAAGAACACCAAUGGCGAAGGCAGCUCUCUGGGACGGUACUGACGCUGAGACGCGAAAGCGUGGGGAGCGAACAGG